rnacentral:rRNA from 1 species
CAGCCGCCGCGGUAAUACGGAGGGCGCGAGCGUUACCCGGAUUUACUGGGCGUAAAGGGCGUAUAGGCGGCCUGGGGCGUCCCAUGUGAAAGGCCACGGCUCAACCGUGGAGGAGCGUGGGAUACGCUCAGGCUAGAGGGUGGGAGAGGGUGGUGGAAUUCCCGGAGUAGCGGUGAAAUGCGCAGAUACCGGGAGGAACGCCGAUGGCGAAGGCAGCCACCUGGUCCACUUCUGACGCUGAGGCGCGAAAGCGUGGGGAGCAAACCGGAUUAGAUACCCCAGUAGUCCCUGUCUCUUAUAA